rnacentral:rRNA from 1 species
GCGACGGGGGRACCCCAAGUGCCACUCUUAACGGGGUGGCUUUUCAGRAGUGUAAAAAGCUYCUGGAAUAAGGGCUGGGCAAGACCGGUGCCAGCCGCCGCGGUAACACCGGCAGCUCRAGUGGUAGCCGCKUUUAUUGGGCCUAAAGCGUCCGUAGCCGGUCYGAUAAGUCUCUGGUGAAAKCCCACAGCUYAACUGUGGGAAUYGCUGGAGAUACUAUCAKGACUYGAGGYCGGGAGAGGCUGGAGGUACUCCCAGGGUAGGGGUGAAAUCCURUAAUCCUGGGAGGACCACCUGUGGCGAAGGCGUCCAGCUGGAACGRACCUGACGGUGAGGGACGAAAGCCAGGGGCGCGAACCGGAUUAGAUACCCGGGUAGUCCUGGCCGUAAACGAUGYGGACUUGGUGUUGGGAYGGCUUYGAGCUGYCCCAGUGCCGAAGGGAAGCUGUUAAGUCCRCCGC